UUUCAUUUUUGUGGAAAAAAGUCAGGGAAACUGUAAGUGUCACAUGACCUUAAAAGGUGUCUCUUGUUCUAUUGUUGAGACAAGUUUUUGUUUACAUGUUGAAAGUGACAGCAUCUGUUACAUCAGUGCAUGUCAAUAGUGAGUACCGUCGAUGACCUUUUUUUGUGGUGACCCUUUUCUUUCGAGUGUGAAAUUUUGUGAGCUAUAUGGGCUAAAAGUGCCAAGUGAAAGGAUUUAUUAUAUAUAUAAAUGUAGAGCAAGAAAAAACUAAACAACACCAAAUUUUUCGAGGAAAAUUUUGACCAAAAGGAUUUUAUGGCAAGCGAGAACAAAAACAUAUAAAGACGAGAAUAAGAAAAUUCCUAAACAAAAAUUCUGAUCGAAGAUUCUCUCGAUGCUCCUGAAGGUUCUUUUUGAAGAUCCGUUGAAUUCUUGCGUGAUGUCUUGGAGAUUCGCCGAGGUUCUGAAUUCCAGGAAAGUCCCUCGGAGCCGAAACUUCUUCAACCAAUUCGGUGAUCCAGUCAUGAAGGUCAUUGAAUCUCCAGGAUAACUUUUGAAUGAAGCUUGCGGUUAUUGAGGCACACUUGGUGGCUCAUUCCAACCGUUAACAAUCUUGGUGCAAUUAAAAGCAAUAACACCCAUUGCUACCGCGAGUAAAACCACCCAAAACCCUGGUAGAAGAUUGCAGUUUGUCACUAUGGAAUUUCGGAUUUAAUUUGACAGGAAAGAUUUUCACAAGUUGGUAAGAUACCUCUUGGUUUUUUUACAUAACUUCAAAUGUACCAGAGGGCCAGAAACUACUCAAUUCGCCCUUAGAGCACUGAACGUCUUCGGUGUAGUUUAGAAACAUCCACAUUUAAAAAAAAAAUUAUUGUAGAAAAGAGCAAUAUA